UAGGGUGGGCUAUAUGUGAGAAAUUCUCUUCUGCCAGAUAGAAGACUAGAGCUGACUAGACAUGGUUAUUUCCUUCCCCCCAGGUGAGUUAAACUUCCAUGAUAUCCCAGCCAGUUGGGCUCUGCUUAAUUAAUUUCUCCUGAGGGUGAGGCUUCUUAAGAAGAGUGGAAUGCCCCAGCAUAUUUCAAAAUGGUUUCUCUUCCCAUCUUCUUUGGGAAGUAAGAGAGGAUUUUUCUCUGAUAUUCACUGUAAGGACUUGGUUGAGCUCUUGGAAAUAAUUCUCACGAAACUGGGUCCCCCCCUGGAAUUCUUAAAUCUCAGAUUUAUCCAUGCUGAGCCUCAGCAGUUCAUCACAGUUCUUGUUUUCCUACUCUGCAAUGGUUCCCCUGCACUGGUUUCAGCUCCUGAGUCUCUGUUCAGGUAAGUUUUUAUUUUUUUGUAUAUGACUGUUGGUCUCUUCAAUCUUGGGAGAUUCCUUUAGCCCAGCAUCCUAACCUCUCUUCAGGCUCUUUUAAGAUGUGUUGCUUUUUUCAGAUUAAUAAUAAGAAUUUUACUUGUAUGUGGGUAAGACUGAGUGGGAGCUUCUAUGCUUCUUAUAUACAGAACCAAAAAUCAAUCAGCAUGUUUUACUCUUGACUUGGAAUGGAAAACCAAAUAGCAUUUCAGAAAACUAUAAUAAAAUUCACAGUGUUUGUAAAAUAUUGUUGUGAACCAUGUUAUAAAAAGCUUAAUAAGCUCUGCUCUGCUCUAAUUUGGUAGGUAAAUUGGGAGAAAAAACAUUAAGUAGUACUAACACUGUGUUUUUUUUCUUUUCCAUCCUUUUUCAUCAUUGCCAACCUAAGGGGCUGGCACAUUCUUAAUACUUCAACCCUAUCCUUAAUUCCUAUGUUCCAAACUUAAACAGAAGCAGAAACAAGGAUUCAAAGACAAGACCAACUUGUUUGCAGGAGAGGCAGAUUUUUAUAAUUUAUAUGACUCCCUGAGUGUCUACUCUAUCAUAUAUUUCAAGCACAACAAUCCUGAAAAUCUAUAUUUAUUGAACAUAUUAUAGAGAUGAUAAAUGUUCAACUAAUAAAAAUACAUUAUUUCAGAUAAUUUUCAGGAACUGUCUAUGAUGAGAUAUAUUAUUAUACUGAAAAGGUAAAUAAAUGAUAACAUUUCAAGAAAGAAAAAAGUAUAAUAGAAUAUCCAGGGAUUAUAAUUUCAGAUUUGAAUGGAAACAGAGAUUCAGAUAAUUAUAAGAAUUUUUUUUUUCCAAAUCUUGGCUCAGCUAUCCCUUCUCAUAUAUUUUUUUAUUUUUGUGGCAAGGUGGCUUGGAGCCAGUCUUUUCUUUCCUAUUAACCUCAGAGCCAAUGCCCUGAGGUUAAUAGAAAAGGAAGAGAAUACCUCUUCCCAGUCACAGAAGCAAUUUUCAGAGUGCUUUUGGUUGCUUUGGAUCACAUGUUCUUCUCUACACUUGCAAUGAGUUUGAGGAAUGGAGUAUUCUAAUGAGUUAGAGGGAGCUAUAGCCACAGCUCAACCACUGGUGCAGUAGAGACACUUUUACCUAAAUUACACCAGUUUAAUUAGGGAGGUAUAUUACUCAAAGUAAAAUCUACUGGCUAAAAACAAGAAAACUGUUAAGAUAGUUUUCAGGGGGCAGUUACUGUAAGAUUGUGUAUUAAACUCAAGCAAAUAUGUUUUUGCAUAUAUGAAUUAGCACAACUAUCAUAAUGAUAUAUUGCUAUUAGAAGAGUCACCAAGAUUAUAUAUUCAAAGCUCAAAAUUCAGCGAGAGCUCCGUUUUAUCCUUUCUCUUCAUACUUAAUUUCUUCACUUAGAGCUUGAAUUUCUUCUGAUUAAAAAAUAAAGUCCUGCCAACAAAUCAUAGAUCAUAGUUAACUUGGGACUAUAAAUUAAAAUAUGACUGUGGCAAAUAAAAGAUACAUAGAAAUUCAAAUCUAUGAAAGUUAAUUUUAAUGUUUCAAUUUUUAUUGAAAUAUUUAUUUAUAUCAUAUAUUGACCUAGUUGUGACAACGGGUACAUAAUCUUCAUCUGAACCACUGCUAAAAAUGUUGAAUAAGAAAUAUGUAUUGAAAUAAUAUAUAUUAUUAUUAAGUCAACAAAGUAAAUAUCAAUCAUAGUUAAGGACAGUCAAUCAACAAAGUAAAUAUAAAAAACAAAACUAAAAAGCUGAUCUAGAAAACUGAAAUGUUAAAAAUCAAGUAGCUUUCAUCUGGGAAACAACCUCUGGGAUAAUUACAUGGAGGAAAUGUGCAUGCAGAAAGUUAAUUUGGAAGGGUUCAAGUUGUCAGUAAUUGUCUGCAAGUGAAAGAAGCAAGGUUGAGAAGGAUAAUAUGGGCCAUCUCGGAGUCACUGGAAAACAACAAAACUUAAUGUCACAAUGGAGUUCUAGAGCUAAAAUAGACUUGCAAAAUUGGCCUGAAUUGAGGCAAAUAGUAUGCUCAUUCAAUAUCAUGCAUAUUGAUCAGUCUUUGGAUAUGUAAUGCAUCAGAAAAUUGAUCUGACCUUGGAUGAAGUACCUUCCUUCAGCUGAGGGCAAUCUUUAUGAAGGGGGAUGAAAUGCAAUGUGUUAUCUGAUAAUAUGUCCAACAGCUGGGAAAAUGAAUUUCAGUCCAGCAUUUAGGUUGGUGGUAGAAAAAAGUAAGGCUCUUGGCAGUGCUCUCAGUACCCUCUGGAACUUAAGUAUUAAUGAGAAAACAGCACAAAAUUAUUGCUAUUAAAAAAAAAUAAUUUCUUCAGCAAGACAAUGAAGACACUCAAAAGAUUACCUAUUUUAAAAUGAGAAUAAACAUGUCCCAAGCAUGACAGUUUUGGUACCCUAAAUACAACAGUUUGUGUCACACAGCACUCAUUUGAAUUGAUGGAGGAAAAAAAAAUAAAUGAAAUUCAUUUGUUCUUUAGAAAGAGAUCUAACUGAAAAAGCUUCAAGUUCUUUCUGACCCUGUUUUUCUAAUUCACAUAAUUUAAACAGUCCUCUCUUUUUAAUUUUCUGGUGUGUGCUUUUCAGGACCAUGCUUUUCUUAAUGUAUUCUGUAUGUCCUAAUGGGCACAACAUAGAGAAAAUUAGGAUCCAUAAAAUAUAUAAUACAAGUACACAUUUUAGCUAAAAAUACUCAAGACUUCCAAUAAUCCAAAACAAAUAGUACAGAACUACACUAGGGAUCACUUAAAGGUCAAUUUUCAAUAUCAUGUGCUUUUAGACCAAGCAAAGUAAAUAUAAUGUUCUUGCACUUAUUAAGCUAGGACAGUUUAAACAUGAGGCACGAACCAAUUAGAUCUGUCUGUAGUACAUUAUCAUUAAAAACAGUAAUUAUUUUACUGCUGAGUGAAUUGGUAAAUUGCUCCCGACCUGCUUUCCCAUUUAUUCCUAAGACAGGACAGAUUGCUAUUGUUUUCCUAAGGAUUUUAUCCAGUAUAUUGUCCUCAGUGCAAUAAACCUGAACUCUGAAUGAAAUUAUCCCAAUAAUUUAUGAGGCUCUGUCUUUAUGGAGCCAUGUCGUUGAGUAGCCAAUUUCAAAACCCCAAAAAUGUCUGUUACUGCUCUAUUUAUUUCACUAUAAAUCAAAAAUUGUUUCUCAGUAUUUUCUUUCAAAGAUUAUCAGCCUCUUAAUCACAGAAAAGAUCUGAAACAUGCUCUACAUUCUUAACUGAAAACUAGGAACACUUUCAUUAGGAAGCUCAUUCCAAUAAAAUUUGUGUUCUUUAAUGCAGUUUUUCAUGGGCAAUUCACUGUAUCUAUUGUUUGCAUUUUGAAGAUGUAGCAAUGACUAUUUGUAAUUGAAAAAUUAACCUGAUAGCAACCUUGAUAUGUUAUAGAUUUGUGAUUUCCCCUAAAAUCAAGUGAUGGCAUUAAACCAAUAUUUUAAUGUUGUGAACAUAUGUCUAUUUCAACGAUAUAUACAGAAAUCAUAAUGUGGGUAUAUUUCCAUGAAAAACAACUUUGUUUGAACACUGUUUUAGAAAUGACUUGAGAGAAAGUUCAUUCCAAGUCCCAAGGGACUGGUAAAGUCUCCAGGUGAGGCCUUAUCCUUCCAAAGGAGAAGGCAGAUCUUGACAAGAAACCAAAGCACCGACAAAUUGUCUAUGGCAUGCGGUGUGAGGAGACUUCCAAAAUAAAAGAGACCUGUAUAGACAAGUAUUGAAGCUUGACUAUUUCUGUGGAAGUUUCUGCAGACUUUUUUUUAUAGUUAGCUGAAGGAAGAAAGAAACUUGUUUCUUUGAAGUCCUUCUGAAAACCCCUAAAUGCCUAAGAGAUAGACCCCCACACUUGUUAUUUAAAUGGUAACCUUUUCUUGACAACAAGUAAAUUGCUGUCAUAAGCUCAUAUUCUUUACAAUUCACAGAAAAGGUUUUUUUGUUGUUGUUUAAAUGAAAUUUCUUUGUUGAUAUUUGCUUGGGGAAAAAAAAGGUGGAAGGACUUAAAGUCAAAAAUGGUAUAGAUUAGUUUGGUAAUUUCUUUUCAGUAUCAAGAAGGAUGUGAGAUUUGCUAGUAUGCUUGAGAAGUGGAAAGCAUUCCGGGUAGAGGAAUGAUGUAUAAAGGCUCUGAAAGCAGAAAAUCAUUCAGAUUAUUUAAGGACUGAAAAAGAUCAGUAAUUCUGGAGUUGAGUACUUGGAAGUAGAGUUGGAGUUAUGUGGGAGUCCCACCACCAAGGUAUUUAUAUGCUCUGAUUAGUUCAUGCUUUAUUUGAAGGAUAUAUAGGAUGUAUAUUGUGAUACAGUGUUUCAGCUUUUUAAUAUUUGGGAAUUUUGUUUAUGAUGCUAUAUCUACAUUGAUUUAUUGUACAUAUGGUUCUUUUUUCAGGCCAGUAAGAUAGGACAUUUCAUACUAACUACCUCAAAGAGUGACAUACAAAACUCAGAACUUAAAAAUAAGUCAUUUUUGGCCGUUGCAUUUCAAAAAGAAAGGAAAAAUCUAGAUACAAGGAGAAUGUAUGCUAAUGCAAAGAAGGUAUUUUGAGUGUCUUGGGCUAUGACAAACUUCUUUAUGUAGGGUUUGGUAUAUGAAGAGAAAUAUCAGAUGAAAUGGAGAUGUAACACAGAGAGAAGGUCACCUAAAGAAGCUCUGGCAGUGGUCAAGGUGAGGAGGAUGUAGCAGUGGCCUGUUGGUCCUGUGUUAUUGUCUGAAGGCUGGAUGAGAGGAUAUUUGUCUUUGUCUUGCCUUAUGUCCACUUUGAUGCCCUUAAAAUUGUCAGUUGACAUGAACUGUUAAUCCCCCAUGUGGCCCUAUGUUAGUGGGACAUAGGAUAUAAGCUACUUGAACUGAGAUGAACCCAGAGGAAGGCCCAACUUGGGAUUGAUUUCACUAAAUAAAAUUGGUCUUGUUAUUUUCUAAAGGCCUUCCAAGGACACAUUGCUCAUAUCCCCGGAGUUCCCCUUGUGGCUCAGUGGUAAUGUACCCAACUAGUACCCAUGAGGAUGCAGGUUCAAACCCUGGCCUCACUCAGUGGAUUUCUGGCAUUGCCGUGAACUGUGGUGUAGGUCUCAAAUGUGGCUUGGAUCCAGCAUUGCUAUGGCAUAGGCCAGCAGCAGCUCCAAUUUGACCCCUAGCCUGGGAACUUCCAUAUGCUGUA
rnacentral:lncRNA from 1 species